rnacentral:rRNA from 1 species
GACGAACGCUGGCGGCGUGCCUAACACAUGCAAGUCGAGCGAAGAAUACAUAAAGAAAUCUUCGGAUGGAAUUAUGUAUUUCUUAGCGGCGGACGGGUGAGUAACGCGUGAGGAACCUGCCUUGUACUAGGGGAUAGCCUCGGGAAACCGGGAUUAAUACCCUAUGAUACUUGAAAGUCGCAUGACUUUCAAGUCAAAGCGAUUUAGCGGUACAAGAUGGCCUCGCGUCCCAUUAGCUAGUUGGCGAGGUAAUAGCUCACCAAGGCGACGAUGGGUAGCCGGCCUGAGAGGGUGAACGGCCACACUGGAACUGAGACACGGUCCAGACUCCUACGGGAGGCAGCAGUGGGGAAUAUUGCACAAUGGAGGAAACUCUGAUGCAGCGACGCCGCGUGAGCGAUGAAGGUUUUCGAAUCGUAAAGCUCUGUCCUAAGGGACGAUAAUGACGGUACCUUAGGAGGAAGCCCCGGCUAACUACGUGCCAGCGGCCGCGGUAAUGAGU